rnacentral:rRNA from 1 species
UACGUAGGGUGCGAGCGUUGUCCGGAAUUAUUGGGCGUAAAGGGCUCGUAGGCGGUUUGUCGCGUCGGGAGUGAAAUCCACUGGCUUAACUGGUGGCUUGCUUUCGAUACGGGCAGACUGGAGGCAUGCAGGGGAGAACGGAAUUCCAGGUGUAGCGGUGAAAUGCGUAGAUAUCUGGAGGAACACCGGUGGCGAAGGCGGCAUCCUGGACCGGCAUUGACGCUGAGGCGCGAAAGCCAGGGGAGCAAACGGG